rnacentral:rRNA from 1 species
GUACGGCGAGUGAAGCGGCAACAGCUCAAAUUUGAAAUCUGGCUCUCGGGCCCGAGUUGUAAUUUGUAGAGGAUACUUUUGAUGCGGUGCCUUCCGAGUUCCCUGGAACGGGACGCCAUAGAGGGUGAGAGCCCCGUCUGGUUGGAUGCCAAAUCUCUGUAAAGUUCCUUCAACGAGUCGAGUAGUUUGGGAAUGCUGCUCUAAAUGGGAGGUAUAUGUCUUCUAAAGCUAAAUACCGGCCAGAGACCGAUAGCGCACAAGUAGAGUGAUCGAAAGAUGAAAAGCACUUUGAAAAGAGAGUUAAAAAGUACGUGAAAUUGUUGAAAGGGAAGCGUUUAUGACCAGACUUGGGCUUGGUUAAUCAUCUGGGGUUCUCCCCAGUGCACUUUUCCAGUCCAGGCCAGCAUCAGUUUUCCCCGGGGGAUAAAGGCGGCGGGAAUGUGGCUCUCUUCGGGGAGUGUUAUAGCCCACCGUGUAAUACCCUGGGGGGGACUGAGGUUCGCGCAUCUGCAAGGAUGCUGGCGUAAUGGUCAUCAACGACCCGU